AGAGCUAUAGCUUAGUGGGAGAACACCUGCUUUGCAUGCAGAAGGUCCCAAGUUUGAGUCCUAGAAGCUCCU